rnacentral:other from 1 species
CGCUGGCUGAGACAUCACAGGCUCAUCAACUUGGGGGAUUUUUGUGAGUCUGAGAGGUAAGCGCCGCGGCCUGUCUUUCCGGACCUGCCCUUCGCCUUGUCUGCUUUGCCUGCUGACCCCGGGCCCUGUACCUUCAGAUCAGUAACCUCGGUGCGCUCGGGUGCUGUGGCCUGUGGCUGGAUUGCCUGUGACGUCCUGCCAGCCUGCCGACCGACUGGCCUACGGCGCCGGCAAGAUGAAGCUGUCCCUGGUGGCUGCGGUGCUGCUG